UACGUAGGGGGCAAGCGUUGUCCGGAAUCAUUGGGCGUAAAGCGCGUGUAGGCGGCUUGGUAAGUCUGCUCUGAAAGCCCGGGGCUCAACCCCGGGAGGCGGGUGGAUACUGUCAAGCUCGAGUCCGGAAGAGGAGUGUGGAAUUCCUGGUGUAGUGGUGAAAUGCGUAGAGAUCCGGAGGAACACCAGUGGCGAAGGCGACACGCUGGGCCGUACCUGACACUGAUGCGCGACAGCAUGGGGAGCAAACAGG
rnacentral:rRNA from 1 species